UACGUAGGGUGCGAGCGUUAAUCGGAAUUACUGGGCGUAAAGCGUGCGCAGGCGGUUCGCCAAGUCAGGUGUGAAAUCCCCGGGCUUAACCUGGGAAUUGCGCUUGAAACUAGCGGGCUUGAGUGUGGCAGAGGGGGGUGGAAUUCCACGUGUAGCAGUGAAAUGCGUAGAGAUCCGGAGGAACACCAGAGGCGAAGGCGGCCUACUGGGCUGCACCUGACGCUGAGCCGCGAAAGCCAGGGGAGCGAACGGG
rnacentral:rRNA from 1 species